AAAAAUAUUCCCCCAGGAAACACUUUUCAUCCCAAACAGCAGACAGCAACAAGCAAGACAAUCCUAACAUUGCAUUAUGCAGCUCAUUCAACACCCAAAAAUCCUUCAGCUCCCGUUGAUGAAAAACCAUUUUAUAAGAGAUCGCUUCACUGCGUUCAAACUUGGACGACAUGUGCAUGAUAAGUGAAGUGUGGAAACAAAUGGCAUGUGAAAGUGGUAAUUGUUUCAGAGCAUCAUUUAGCUCCCCAAUUGGUUGCAGGACAUGUCUUCUACAAAUGGGUCUAAAGCCCCCAUCGAGAUCCCGAGAAAAUCUGCAUGAAUCUUCUUCGCAAUUGCUUUCCCCUCCUAAACAGUUAUGCAGAGGGAGGAAUUAAGGCAAAACACAUGGAUUCCCAACCCAACUUAACCAACCCUACAACUGGACAUCCGGGUCUGAACAACUCGAGUACAGCAGACUUUUUAAACUAAGUUUAUCCAUGUAUUAUAUUUGUUUAUAUUUUAUAACUUUGUCAUUAUUAUUUAACGUCAGACCCCCUUUGUGCCAUCAAAAUUUUAAAUGUAUCUUAGAAAUAAGUUAUUUAAUUAUUAAAUUGCAAAUUGCAAAAUUAAAACGUAA